rnacentral:lncRNA from 1 species
CGGCUGUUUUAAAGUCGCGGUUCCGGUGUUCAGGAUGCCAGGGAUGAUGGGAAGCCUGUUCUUGUUUAUCGGUUUGUACGGAACUUCACCCGCGGUAGAGUACGGCCUGAGAAUUUUGUUCCAGCACCGGUGUGAGGUUUGGAGUGCAUAAUGAGGAGAAAUAAAAACAGAAAGAUCUCCAGAAAGAAGCCAUGGUAAGAUUCAAGGUUUCACAGUCCAAGCUAAUGCCUGUGGACACUUGACCAAGUGAUCUGAGAAAAUUGGAUUUCUGGCAAAACAAGUGUACCUAGACUCAGGCAAGGGUGGAGAACAGAGGGCGACUAGAUUAAAUGGAAAGAAUGCCCAGGCAUCCCAUUGCCUCCCUUUGACGUUCCAGAACUUCAUCAAGACAGUGAUGAGCUACAUGUACACCUGGAGGAGGACCAUGCAGAAUACCAUCCAGCGCCAUGAACACUAGUCAGUCAGUCAGUAAUGGUGGGCUUCUUGGUGUGCUCCAGCUCAAUUUUCUCAUGUUUGAUGAUUAGUUCAGGAUCAAGCUCAGAAGCGCACAGCUGCCAGCAAGCAGUCUACUACUGAACUGCACCAUCUCUCCAGCCUGUGCUUACUCUUGAAUAGCCCCAAAGUAGUCAAUGGUAUGGCAAAAUAAACCUCCAUUUCAUUUAGAUUUUUAUAGUAUUUUUUGCCACUUAAAUUAUUUUAUGUAGUUGAGUAUGAUUUUUUUUCCCCCUAAGGAAUUCUAUGUAUCUCAAUUUCAAGAGUCUUCAGCCUUUAUGUUAUACAUAAUUUCCUAUAGAUUUCAAAGUUGCUUUAAUAAAAAGUUUAAUGUUAAAACAGU